UGAGUCUCCCAAGAGUUACAACUCCCACCAGGCUUGGAUAAAUAUUGGUACCAACUUCCGAGCAUUAAGUCUCGAGACCCUUCCCAGUACAGUGGUGUUUCUGCACCGGGUUGACUCCGCGCGGCUUCUUCUUCCUCAUGUGCACAUGUGACAUGUGGAAAGAUAUAUUCCCAGUUCAUUCUGGUGAAUCAACACUGUCUCAACCAUUUCUGAGGCCCAAAUGGGAGAACCAAGAACUUGAGUUAUUCUCCAGGAAACAGAGACUUGGAAGCCUGAAAACCAAGACCAUCUAGAUUCGAUCUUUAUUUUCUCAUAUCAAUUUUUACAUUGGAUGCGGUAACAGUAGUACUUUCGAUUGCGCUAAUAUUCAUUUUGUGUUAGGAUUCAGAUAAUUUUCUUUUUCGACUAUUGUUUUCUGCAGAUUCUCCAGUAAGGUGUAGCCGUGGAGCUAUAUAGUAUAGGCAGAAACAACUUUCUUUGGGUGUUCAGCUACUGAAGUUUGGAGAAGAGAGAAACCCUAGAAACAAGUACAGUCUUUGCUUUAAUGGGUUGCAAAUCUAAGGCUGUUGAGUCCCUGCCGCCUUCUACGACUGCACCAGCAACUGCUGUGGCGGUGACGUCGCUUGCUCAUGCGUUUCGAUUUCAUCCGACUGGUGAGGAAUUCAUGAACUAUUUAUUGAAGAGAAAGGUUUUGGGUAAAACGGUAAGCCUCAAUGCAAUUGGGGUGGUUGAUAUUUACAAGCAUGAGUCUUGGAACUUUUUGUUUUCUCUUUCUAUUCUUUAACGUAUCUGUUUGAUUUGGAUUUUUCUGUGAGUGAGAGAAGAUGCUAAGACAAUUCUUGGUCAUCUCAUCGUCUCCAUGGUCAAGAAAUUACUUGCUCAGAUGCAAGUAUAGUCUUAAUGUAAAAUUUCUCAUUCAUAUACUCUCAUAUGGGUUUGUGUUUAUUUUGUUAACUGGUCCGUGUAAGACUUUUUAGAG